rnacentral:rRNA from 1 species
CCUACGGGAGGCAGCAGUGGGGAAUAUUGGACAAUGGGCGAAAGCCUGAUCCAGCCAUGCCGCGUGUGUGAAGAAGGCCUUCGGGUUGUAAAGCACUUUCAGUGGGGAAGAAAGCCUUGGGGCUAAUACCCUCGAGGAAGGACAUCACCCACAGAAGAAGCACCGGCUAACUCCGUGCCAGCAGCCGCGGUAAUACGGAGGGUGCGAGCGUUAAUCGGAAUUACUGGGCGUAAAGCGCGCGUAGGCGGUCUGAUAAGCCGGUUGUGAAAGCCCCGGGCUCAACCUGGGAACGGCAUCCGGAACUGUCAGGCUAGAGUGCAGGAGAGGAAGGUAGAAUUCCCGGUGUAGCGGUGAAAUGCGUAGAGAUCGGGAGGAAUACCAGAGGCGAAGGCGGCCUUCUGGACUGACACUGACGCUGAGGUGCGAAAGCGUGGGUAGCAAACAGGAUUAGAUACCCUUGUAGUC